UAGAACGCAAGGGCUAGUGUAGAAAUCUUAUACAACGGAGCAAUUUUCACCAUCGUAGCAACGUUUGCUUCCACGGGCGACUGAAACGUCGUUCCCAUCGACCCAAAUCGAUCGAUCGAUCGAAGACUUGAAAACCACGUUGCUUCGGGUCGGCAGGCCUUAGGGAACACCGGCGCGAACAAACCCUAGUUUAUUCCCUCUCUCUCAUUUCAUCAUACGCCUACGGGGCAUCGCCCUCAUCGAGAACGCGUUCUCGUACCAUUCCAUAUCCGUCUGCCUGCGGCUCGUUGUGUGUUUGUCGUCGACGCGAUGACAAGUCGUCGGGCAGGGAUUAGCUGCAAGGUGUACCACGGAGAUGUUUUCCUUGGAGACGCGGAAGCUUUUCCGACGACCAACACUAGCGGCGGUAAUGCCCAACCCUUGCCCUUCCUCAGUGGCAACGAGAUACGCAUAGAUCACCUCUCGCCUCCCAGCGAGCGUUGCCCUCCCCUCUCCGUCCUCCAAAGCAUCAACCCUUUCGCCGUCCGCUGCAAGGUCCAAGCCAAGUCGGUCGCUGAACACCCACUUCGUCGCCUCUACCUCUCAUGCUUUAACGAAUUCAGGAGUGCCGUCAUGGUCACGGGUAAUGAAGAGCUGCAUCUGGUGGCAAUGCCGAGCAAGGUGGAGAAGGUAUCUUGCUUUUGGUGCUGUUCGGUUCAGGCCGGGCUAUAUGCAUCUUGUUUGGGCAUGCUCAACUUGCGGUGCCUUGCCAUUGUUUUUGAUCUAGAUGAGACGCUCAUAGUUGCCAACACCAUGAGAUCAUUUGAUGACAGAAUUGAGGCCCUCUCUCGAAAGAUAGAUGGUGAGAAAGAUCCUAUUAGGAUUUCAGGAAUGUCAGCUGAAUUGAAGCGAUAUGUUGAGGACAAAGAUUUCUUGAAGCAGUAUAUAGAGAUGGAUACUGUUACUGACAAUGGGAGGUCAAUUACUGCUCAGAACGAGGAAGUUCCACCAAUUCCUGGUGUCCAGGAGAGAAUUACUCGGCCUGUCAUCAGAAUGAAAGAAAGGAACAUCGUCUUGACUCGGAUCAAUCCCGAGAACCAUGAUACUAGUGUUUUUGUAAGGCUAAGGCCUGCAUGGGAGGAUCUAAGGAGCUACCUAACUGCUAAAGGGCGACGAAGAUUUGAAGUUUUUGUCUGCACAAUGGCUGAAAGAGACUAUGCUCUGGAGAUUUGGAGGCUUCUUGAUCCAGAUUCUCAUUUGAUCAGUUCGAAACAACUUAUGGAUCGCAUAGUAUGUGUAAAAUCAGGUUUGAGGAAAUCAUUGCAACAUGUUUUCCAGGAUAAUGUGUGCCAUCCUCGAAUGGCUAUGGUGAUUGAUGACCGAUUGCAGGUUUGGGAUGACAAAGACCAGCCUCACGUUCAUGUUGUCCCUGCAUAUACUCCAUAUUAUGCUCCUCAAGCAGAGAUGGCCAAUGCUGUUCCGGUAUUAUGUGUUGCAAGAAAUGUUGCAUGUAAUGUUCGAGGUGGCUUUUUCAAAGAAUUCGAUGAGAAUUUACUACAGAAGGUAUUUGAACUGAAUUAUGAGAAUGAGAUAGUUGAGUUACCUGGUGCUCCUGAUGUGAGCUACUACUUAAUCGCUGAGGAUUGUAAUAAUUUACAAAACAACAAUAGAGAAGCUCCUAUAGUUGAGGGAACAAUUGGUUCUGAAACAGAACAUAGAUUCAAUCAACUGGUACCUUAUUUAUUCUCUAACUUUUUUUGCUUUACCAUAUUCUUCCUUUUAGAUGGUUGUCAGUUUUGGGACGUCCAAUUUCAUAAUGCUCAGGCUUCAUUUGUGUGCCAGUUAGGGUAUACAAUUUAUCUAUGAAGUUUUAUGUUCAAAUCUAUGCACGUUUUUGCAUGAAUAUACAUGCAAGUCAUAUACUAGCAUGUAUAACUUUGUGUUGAUUCCAGUCUGAUUUGUUGGACAUUGAUUGCAUUUUUAAUAUAUCUUGUGUUGAUCUGUAAUCCUCUUAAGUGCUUUAACUGUUUAAUCCAUGAAAUUUCAUUCUAUGCUAAAAUUUUCUCUCUGUAUUGUCUGAUGUCAUCGAUGCAUGCUACAUUAAUGAAAAUGACCAUCAAUUAUAGUUAAGUAGUUCUCUCUCUGCCUUUAUAUUUCCACUUAUUAAAGUUCUAUAUAAGCAUUUUGGUUGACAUAGGACAAUUUGACAUUGUCACAUCAAAUGCCACAUGAACUAAAAAAAUUUUAGCCCAAACAACCUAAUAACAUACCUUAACCUACAAUCAGAAAUAGCAUAAAAAGCAUGGCCAAAUUGGUAACCAAUCUGGAAAUGGUGGUGAAAAGGGCAACAAUAGGAGUGAGCACAGGUGUGCACAGUGGGUCAACAAUAAAUGUGUAUGUACUUAGAUUCCUCAGAUAAGUCUAUCAGUAUUUAUCUACUUAAAUCAAGUGAAUCUUAUAGCCAAGAGGCCCAAGACUAUCAACCAUAUGAGCGUAUCAUCUGAUAAUGAGUUAAAGCACUACAAUAAUGGGCUGGUUCCCCAAUAGAGGCAAAUAAGUUGAAGCUUCACUCGAUGCACUUGGUGGAAGCCACAACUGAUGAUAAAUAAAAGGACUGAAGCCCCAAAGUGUGAAUAGGCUGAAGCUACUUUGAACCAUGUACAAGGCAUAUCUGGUUGAUGAACAACAAGCAAAACAUCAAGCUCAAUUGAAUCACUCUUCUACAGGUAAGUUCUCUAGGUUUUGGUUUUCUUGUUUGUAAAUGAAUGCUCAUCUAGUUGUAUUUCUUUUUUUCAAUAUUUAUCAUGGAAACCAAGAGCAAAUGAGAUUUCACAGCAGAGAUUAUUUGUUCUGUUAAUUUGCUACAGUUUGCUUUCAUUUAUGUGCUUAUAAUGGUUGAGACACAAGACAUCACUAAACAAUGAUCCAAGGAAAAGUGUAAAAGGGAAGAUGAUUAAGGUCUUGAAAAAUCAAACAAUAUCCCUGUUUAAGAUCUGAUUUUGGAUAUAUAUAUAUAUAUAGAGAGGAGUGAUCUCCUGAGCGAUGCCCCGUGCGCAACGCUCAAAUUCUGUCUUACAAAAUUUGGGAGGAGUUGCUAUGCUUAUCAUGCGAACCAAAUGUGCUCACUGUUUGUUCAAGUUGAAAAUAUAGAGUUCUCUAGAUUAGCAGAUACUUUUUCAUAGUAGCAUAACUUUACUGUUCGACUGCUUUAACAUUCUUGUUGUUGCCUGAACUGCAAGACUUCAUGUUUUACUCCCAUAAUUACUUUGUUUACUCUUUUCUAUUUCCUCGUUUUUUUUUAAUGCUAAAAUAUAUGACAUUGAAGAAAUUCUCUCCUUCAAAAGUAUUUCCAUGGUCCUUGUUCAAGGAUGAUGCAUGUUUAUUAGCAUGCAUGAAGAGCACCUUUAGUUUAAGAAAUUUGCGCCAAUCUGAAUAUAUUGGAUGGAUGAAUAAUUAAUUAUCUUUAUAAGUUUGCAUUGAAUUGCAAAGCUAUAUGAAUUUUAUUACAAUAUAUCUAUCACUCUGAGUUAUGGUGUAUUCUUUUUGUUCCACUUGUUUUGCUUCUGAUAAAGAUGAUGAGAUGCCAGUAAAUAUCACUUCUGCAAACAACAAAAAAUUGAAUGUGGAAGUAAGACAGCCAAUCUCACUUGCGUCAUCAGUUUUUGUUUCUGUACUGCAAGAGAUUGGUAGAAGAUGUGACUCAAAGAUUGAGUUCAAGUUUACCAAUGGAAAUACAAAGGAGUUGCCCCAUUCUGUUGAGGUUUUAUUUAGUAGUGAAAGAAUUGGUAUGGGGAUGGGAAGGACACUGAAAGAUGCUCAAUCACAAGCUGCUGAGAAUGCACUUCGUAAUCUGGCCAGAGAUUAUGUAUCAUUUAUUGGACCUCUUACUGGUGGCAUGGGAGCUGAAAUCAAUAAGAAUUUGCUUGGAAAUGAGAAUGGCUUCUUAAAGGGGAAUUUCAACUCUCAGGAUACAGCUAAGAAAGAAAACUGACUUGCUGCCAGCACAGCACAAAAUACGUAACUGAGCUUUCACAAGAUGCUCCACUGGUGGUUUCGAUGCAAGUUUCUUGUUACCUAGUGCAAAAAUGUUUGGACGAUGAUGAUAUGGUACCAGUUCUUAUAGCCUGAGGGAUCUCACCCACUUAGCUCCCUCUGAGUUGAUCCAUAUGGGAACUGAACAUAUGUCUACGAAGUACUGGAGGGAUGUGACUUGGCCAUUACUUUUGAAAAGUUACUUCCUUGAUCACUAAGUGGUGCACAUUUAUAUACCUGUGAGUUGAUGGAAAGAGCACUUUAAUUGCGAAUUUUGUCCCAGUAGGCUGUGCAUAGUGGCUAAUUUCAGCAUUGAAAUCAAAAGCACAUGGUUUGUGAUGACAACCACGGAUUUAUCCAGAGUUUAAAGUCCUGUUCUUAGGUAAGAAAAAUUACCUGUUAUGUAUGAAAUGAUUUCGUUACAGUGGAAUGAUAUUAUCCGGCAAGCUGUCCAAGCAGUGAAUCCUUGUUUUAUCUUUCU